GCUCGGCGGCAGAAUCGGUCAGUCGCUGUCGGGGGCUGGAGCUCAGUGCACACUCUCUUGCUCUGUCUGCCUCCUUCGCACCCCACCCUUGCCACCGACCCCCCCUCCCAGUCUCUCUUCCCGGGUCCCUUAGCACGCGCGCGGACCCGGCGCCCCGGCGCGUGUGUGUGCGUGUGUCUGUGUGUGUGCGCGUGUGUGAGUGAAGCCGCGCCAGGGGCUGGAGGGCCGGCUCGAGAGCCAAGCCGGGCAGCGCGGAGCGCACAGCCUGGUCUCCCGGGCUUUCCCUUUUUUACAAAGCAGGGCGUUUGCAGCGAGCGCUCGCUCCCUUUACUCCCUUCCAUUAAGUGGGUAGCUGCGGCCGCGGCCGUGUUGCCCUGAGCCGGGCUGUGUGGUCUCCGUUGCCCCCGCCACUCCCUUUUCGUGUCUCCUUCCAUUUUCCUGCUGCUUCGAUUCCCCCUUUUUCUUAGGGGGAUCCAGGAGGGCGGGUUGAUUAGACGCCGACCGUCUGCCCCCCGACUCCCCAGUUCUUCUAAGCUUCCCUGGCUCACCCCAGGUCGAGCCUCUUCUGCCCCCUCCCCCGCCCCCAUCUUGCCCCCGAGGGGUGGGAUGCUUUGUCCUCUGCUCGGUCACAGUCGUAGCAGCCUCCGACACUGCCCGCCGCCGCACCUGCAGCCGGUCUCAAUAUGAAUGGGGCGAACGACCCGCACUUCUUUAUAAAAGAUAUUAAGCCCGGGCUGAAAAACUUAAAUGUCGUCUUUAUUGUCCUGGAGAUAGGACGAGUGACCAAAACCAAAGACGGCCACGAAGUAAGAUCGUGCAAAGUAGCAGAUAAGACGGGAAGCAUCACUAUCUCGGUGUGGGAUGAAAUCGGAGGUCUUAUCCAGCCCGGGGAUAUAAUUCGAUUAACCCGAGGAUAUGCAUCCAUGUGGAAAGGAUGUCUGACUCUCUAUACAGGAAGAGGAGGUGAACUUCAGAAAAUUGGGGAAUUUUGUAUGGUAUACUCAGAAGUGCCAAACUUCAGUGAACCUAACCCAGACUAUCUUGGACAACAGAACAAAGUGGCACAUGGUGAACAAAAAAAUAAUUCUUCAGCAAGUAAUAUGGGUACAGGUACAUUUGGGCCAGUAGGAAAUGGUGUACAAACUGGACCUGAAUCAGGGCGAUUCCCAUUUUCAUAUAAUCAUGCCCACUCCUAUGCAGGUACUGGGAGAGCCAAUGGACGAGGACCUGUAAACCCACAGCUACCAGCAACAGCUAAUGUUCAGCCAGUUGUGACCACAAUAAGUAAUGGGAGGGACCCCCGGAGAGCCUUUAAAAGAUGACCUAUGCCAAAUGUUUCACAUACAGCUUGCCUAAACUACAUGAUGCCCUACUUGAACACUUAUUGCACUUUUAUUUAUGGUUAUCUGUGAAAAGUUUGUCCUUUAUUGGAAAGACCCUCCAAUACCAAAGCAAGUGACUUACAAUCUAUAGUGACCUACAUUUAUCUAACCAGUCUAGUCUACUUGGGCAACACUCAUCAAGAAGUCCGAGGAAGAAUAUUUUCCUGUUUUCCCCUCAUUCCAGUUUUUCACUUUACCAACUUAUUUUUUAAAAGAGCACUUAAGAUGGAAAUAUUAACAUCUACUGGAAAAGCCACUGGAAUUGAGUUCCCCACAUAAUUUCGACAUUAUGGUUAAUUCUGAAGUGGAUUGACGUCUCAUCAGAAGAACCAGCUUGUUAUGGCUUAUGCCUCUGUCUUGGGCAUGGGGGGAUGGGGAGGGGUGGAGGAAUGGGUUGCUGAAAUGGAGAGAGUGAAAGAUGAACAGAGAAACCCAGAUGAAAUGUCUUUUCAUAUAGGUGGUGUACCUAAGGCACUCUAGUGUGAUCCUAUUGUUUCUCUCUUGUUCCUAUUUGUAGCUUUACCACUAAAGGCUUAGAAUUCACACAUAGGAUAUAAUUUAUAUGUUAAAGCAUUAGAAAAAUAUGAAUGCAUGUUCAAAGGAAGAAGAAAACGUUUUUGUUUGCAAGGAAUCACGUAUAUCAGACACAUGUAGUUCAUAGUUGAGCCCAGUAGUAGUCCCUGGCCAUUUGAACAGGUCCAUCACUUGUAUUUGUAAGGCAACUGGACUAUUAAGCCAUUGUCAUCAUUAGUAAGACCAUAAGUGACUGCUUGUGGUAUGUUUAAAGGAAUGCUUUUGAGAUACAGAUCAUUUUCUAUAUAACUGCAACCACUAAUUAGUCCAUUGAAGUCUCAGUCAUAUAGUAUACUAUGAGAGAACAGUACAAAUAGGAUAAACAAAUCAUUUUUGAUAAUGUACAAUUGAUUAGCACCUAACAUAGUUUUAAUGAUAAUAGGCAAAACAAAUCCCAAAUUAAGGCUUUGUGACAAUGAUUACUGUUCUGUAAACGAGGUAUAGAUCUGGACAUAUUCUAAUUGAAGACUAGAUGCUUACCCCAAUUUCCACCUAUUUUCCCUUCCUGUCAUACCACUGUUUUGUUUGUUUGUUUGUUUGUUUUUUAAGUGAGGCAAUUGGGGUUAAGUGACUUGCCCAGGGUCACACAGAUAGUAAGUGUUAAGUGUCUGAGGCCGGAUUUGAAUUCAGGUGCUCCUGACUCCAGGGCCGGUGCUCUAUCCGAUACCACUGUUUAUUAUUCCAUGUCUGAUAUCCUAUCCUUUGGGCUUUACCUUCCCUUUGACACAGCUCAGUCUAAUGCUUUUGGAGGUUAGCCUUUGCAGUCAUUGUCAACCAUGAUUGUUUUUCUGCCAUUGUGCAAAUGAAAUUGCCUAAUCCCCGUGUCAGGUGUUGAACUUUCAACCCUGUUUUAUGGCAAAAAAACCUCAAAGUCCUGAGUUGUGAAAAGUGACUAUCCUUGUAGUAUGUGCUUAGUAACCUUCACAUGUCUGUAGAAAUCGGCUUUUUUGAGGCAAAUAGGAUACCAAGUUUACAAACCAUGGCCUCCUUUAGGCCUUGUAAUCACUGGUUUUUUUUAAGUUGUACCUAAAACUCUUUCCAAUCCAUCUCCAAAUACCACCUUCAGUCCUGUGACUACACGAGCAAACUAGAUGGGAGAGAGUUUAGCUUGAACAGCUUUUGGCCAUAUUUCAUAUUUUGUAAUUGUGACAGAUUUUCAGUGCCUAAGGCCAUGAACAUAACAUGGUAAAAACCUCAUUCAGAAAAGAGCAGUCAUGAUUUGUUAGGAAAUCUGGAGAUUUUAAAAAUGCCUUAUGUAAAAGUACAGUUAUAUUAAAGCUGUGUAUGGCUAUAAGUGAGUGCCAUAAGGUUUUUAGAAGGCUCAGUACAUAAUGAACCACAAAUGGCCUUUAUCAUAUAAAUGUUUUUGGAUCCACCACAGAGGGUACAAGUGUACUGUUAAUAUUGUAACCUAUAAAAGAGCUUAGAAUUCAUACUUCAAGUAGCAACCUUGAUUUAGCUUUUUUUUUUGGUAGGCAAUUGGGGUUAAGUGACUUGCCCAGGGUCACACAGCUAGUAUGUUAACUGUCUGAGGCAGGAUUUGAACUCAAGUUCUGACUCCAGAGCUGGUGCUCUAUCCACUGUGCUACCUAGCUGCCCCAGCUAUCCUAUUUGUAGGUUACUCAUUUUAUUGGAAUUCUAAUUUGGGUAGCAUAAAUAUCAACUGAAAAUUUAAUGAUGUAAUUCCCAGGUUAACUGAUUACUAAUACCAUCUGGUUACUGGACAAGAGUUGGCUUAUGUCAUAAGUAGGCCAGAGUGGUUUAUUUUUGAUUAAGACCUUUUCCAUUUCACUCCCCUUUUUAAAACUGGGCAGAUUUGACUUGGGGUUGUGGUGGUGGUGGUAAAAUUCACCUUUAGUACAACUUCACUCAUGUUACAUGGCUUCUGGCACCCUUCAGUUUCAAAAUACACCAUACAAACUCUAAUGGAAUAUGAAAACUUGUAACUCAAGUUGGCUAGAACAUAAUUGGAACAUGUUAAGUAUAAAUCUUUAUAUGUAAUUUGCGUAAGAUUUUCGUUUAGGUUUCCAAACUACGUAAUUUACAUUACAACCAAAAUAUUGACAUUUUUUAUUUUGCGAUUAUCCUCUGAAUAGAGCAAAGUAGAUGAUGAAACUGAUUUAUGUGGCUGAGCUAAUGUUAGGAUUAGGCUAUAACAGAUUUUUUGACCUGGCCUCUUUUUUUUGGUGACACUGUGCCCUUUCUCAGUGAAUCAUUGAAAGACUUACCACAUAACCAGCAGUGGAGGCACUUUGCUAAAGCACAGCCUAUGAAGUACAAAGUAAGAUUAAAUACCAAGCUUAUACCCCUAAAGAAAAAUCAAUUUUUGACUUGUUAGAAUUUAAAUCAAGUUGCUAUUUAGGUUGACAUUGUUAGUUUUCCAUACAUCAGCACAUUCAACCAGCAGUAAGCCCUUAUAUGUGCCAUUAAAACAUAAAAUUUAACAGUUCAAGGUGCUAGUUGGGAGAACAAAGUUUAGAUAAAUCAAUCCCUGUCCUAAAAGAGUUUAACUUUCAUAAAGCAAUUAAGGCACCAAGACUUGUAAAAGACUAUUCAAGGCCUGACUAGGAAGAUUCGAGAGAAGGUGGUGUUUUGAGAUGCACAAGAUGGUAGGGAUUCAGUAGGUAAAGAUCAUGGAGGGCAGUCUGAAGGCAAACAGGUAGAAGAGUGAGGUGCAUGUUUUUCCACUUGUUUCCCUGAAGUUUGAUGGAAAUUGGGAUGGUGGUGAAGAAUGAAAGGAUUAAGAUUAAGAAGACUAAAAUCUCACAAUCUGGCCCUCCUGAAAAAGCCACUUAUUCUGCAGAUCUGGCAUGAUUUAAAAUAAAGUGGUUAAGCAAGGUCUUUAAUAUUUGAUCUACUGGCAAGAAAGUAUAAACAUCUAUUGACAUUAGAACCUGUUUUUCCUUGGGGGUAGGGAUGAGGUGGUGGUGUAGAAAGGAGAGGAGCCAGAUAAAAGGAAGUGCAUACCCACUAGGGUUGUUUUGUUUCAGUUAUGGGGUUUUCUUGACAAAGAUAGUGGUUUGCCAUUUCCUUCUCCAGCUCAUUUCACAGAUGAGGAAACUGAGCCAAACAGGACUAAGUGACUUGUCUAAAGUCACAGCUAGAGUCUGAAGCCAGACUUGAACUCAGGAAGUUGAGUUUUCAUGACUAUAGGCCUGGUACUCUAUCCACUGUGCCACCUAACUGCCCAGUGCCAUCUUCUGGGCAGAUGAUAUAAAUUGUUUGAAAUUCUGAAGCCAAGAAAUACAUUUAAACUUUAGUUCCCAUCUUUGGGGAAAAUACUGUCACUCUACUGAGACUUUAUGCCUACUCAUUUCAUCACCAUAUGAAAACUUUAAAUGUCAUGAGCUAGUCUUAAGAAUCUGUUCAGCCCUUUAUAUUAAAAAAAGAGAAAAAGAUCUGAAAUUGUAGCAAAAGCAGUUACCCUUCAAGCUCCAACUGUAGAAACUAUCAGGGUUUAUGGAAUCAGGGUGGAAACUUGCCUUCACAGCAAGUAGCAGUUGCCAUUAAUACUGGUAUAAAGUGUUAUGAUUAAAAAUAGCUUAUGAUAAGUGAUGGUUUUGUAAAAACAUGAAGUGGAACAUAAACCUGUUCAAAAUUGUAUCCCUUUAGCCCAUUGGUAUUUUGUAAAAUGCUAGACAUGUGAAUGUUAGUAUUUAUGCUGUGCGUAUAUGAGAUUUUACUAAAUAUGUAUUUAUACAUAUUCUAUAUAUCUAUAGUUUUGACUUAGAUCUGUGAUUUUUUUCCCUGUGAGCUCCCAGGUGAGGAAACUUCCAAAUGAAGAUUAGCACACCUCCUGCAACUGCAGUUGCUGGUGUUGCUGAGAAGUGACUUUCACAGGGUCACACAGACUUUAGAUGCCAGACUGACUUAAGUGAAGCUGAUUACUACCCUAUUGCUGCAUCAGUGUGUGUGCAUCCUCACCACCACCCCAAACACACAACAAUUGUUAGGCAUUCGAAAUAGCAUUAGAAAUAUGAAUUAGCUUGUCUCACUUUGUUUUCUUCAAUUGCCUGGUACUGUUGCCUCUAAAUUUUUUCCCCCUGAGAAAUGUUACUUUAGUGAUGAUCCAUGAAUACCGAGUAUACAUGAAUGUAAAUUUAGUGUUAUCAAAGCUUAAAACUCUUUACAACUUAAGGCACAUUGUAGGGCGUCUCUGCUCAGACUUGAAAGAUUGGCUGCCCUUUGGUGAUGUUCUUAUGGAUCCUAGAUGUAGAGUCCUGAGAUCUGUGAAUUUGGAAUUGAUCUUAUCAUACCAUGGAGUAAGGCCCUGGAGAAUUGUUUCAUAGUAACCAAGCUCACCAGAGUGACUAGUUAAGCAGAACAUCAUUGUUAAUUUAGAAUGGAAGAAACAUCUUGGUGAGAUAACUAGUAGCAAUUAUUUGCUUAGAAAACUCCCUCCUGGUGCGUAGGUUAAGUCCACUCAGGAGACCAAACUAUAGACAAGAGGUUGCUUAGCACAGAAUAAGAGCAGAGGGAGAUGAAUGUUCUGAAGAGAGAUAUUUCCAUCAACCUCCCACACAUAGAGAUGUUUCUAUCUAAAUAACCAAUAUUGACCUUUAGAAUCUACCCUCUUUCCUUGGAAAGCACUGGAUAUAGGCUUCAGGGAGACGAACUGUGAGAGCAUUACCUUGGCCAUACAUUUAUUGAGGUCACAACUAUUAGAAUCUCAGAUACCUGGAAUAGAAAGGGAACUUAAUUUAUCUAGUCUUAGACUCAGAGUUUGCAUGGAAGGACUAUGGCCUCAUAUUCUCUCACUUUAUAGACAAGAAAAGUAACCUGACCUUGACUUGAAGAGAGUUGAAGUAACUUGACCAAGAUUGCACAGUUAGGCAAGAUGUCAGAUUAAAAGAAUCAAGAGACCUUGUGUUACAUCCUGCCUAACACCACUGAUGUGACCUAGCUAAGCCCCUUGAUGAUUUUGCCUCAGUUUUCCUUAUUUAUAAAAUGGGGAUUAUCAUACCUUUACUGGGCUACCUUUCAGGGUUAUAAUGAGGCUAAGCACUUUCUAAACCUUAAUGUGAACUGCUAUUAGUGGCAUUUAGACAAGGAAUCCAGACCUCAUGAAUCCAGUUUCAAGACUAUUAUGCUGCUUUAUGAUAAUGUAUAAAUGUUCCAAUAGUUCAUAUAAAUAACUAGGAUAACUUUUAUACAGCCAAGUUAAGUUUUUUCUUUUUUUUUUCUUUCUUGUCCUCCAGAAUUUAUAUUAAAAGCAUUGAUAAUGACUGUUUCCCCUAACAUAUACAGUUGAAUUCCCCCAUCAAAGACACACUGAACUUAUAGAGAUAAAACUGAACUUAGUCCGAAGCUCUAAUUCUUAGUUACCUGCAAGAAAAGCUUAAGGAUCCUGAAACAGUCCUGAAGUUAGAAAGAAUCUCAGAAACCAUCCUCUGAUAAAUGAAUUGAAUGUAAUUCCCAAAACUUAAUUGUGUUCAGAGUACCAUUAUAGGCUUGGAAAACAUAGUUUAGAUGAGGCUAAGUUGCUGCACUCAUGAAACUUCUCUACUGGACGGAGAACUUUACACAUGUAGAUGAUUACUAUAAGACAAAUAAUAGAUCAUAAGUAUUUUAGAAAACUGCAAAAGCAUUACUGUGAGUACUGCAGGGGGGAAAUAGGGAGAGGGGAAAAUCUUCUUAGACUUUGGGGAUCAUAACUCUAAAGCUGAGAUGAACCUGUUGGGACCAAUUUUUAAUUGGGGAGUGUUAGCUAAGCGGCUUGCCGCAAUAUUGGGGCAAGGAAGGAGACCGGCAGCUCUCCUCAAAACAGA